rnacentral:rRNA from 1 species
AAGACUCCGUGGUUAAUACCCACGGACGAUGACAUUAGCUGCAGAAUAAGCACCGGCUAACUCUGUGCCAGCAGCCGCGGUAAUACAGAGGGUGCAAGCGUUAAUCGGAAUUACUGGGCGUAAAGGGAGCGUAGGUGGCUCGAUAAGUCAGAUGUGAAAUCCCCGGGCUCAACCUGGGAACUGCAUCUGAUACUGUUGAGCUAGAGUAUGUGAGAGGAAGGUAGAAUUCCAGGUGUAGCGGUGAAAUGCGUAGAGAUCUGGAGGAAUACCGAUGGCGAAGGCAGCCUUCUGGCAUAAUACUGACACUGAGGCUCGAAAGCGUGGGUAGCAAACAGGAUUAGAUACCCUGGUAGUCCACGCCGUAAACGAUGUCUACUAGUCGUUGGGUCCCUUGAGGACUUAGUGACGCAGCUAACGCAAUAAGUAGACCGCCUGGGGAGUACGGCCGCAAGGUUAAAACUCAAAUGAAUUGACGGGGGCCCGCACAAGCGGUGGAGCAUGUGGUUUAAUUCGAUGCAACGCGAAGAACCUUACCUGGUCUUGACAUAUCUAGAAUCCUGCAGAGAUGCGGGAGUGCCUUCGGGAAUUAGAAUACAGGUGCUGCAUGGCUGUCGUCAGCUCGUGUCGUGAGAUGUUGGGUUAAGUCCCGCAACGAGCGCAACCCUUGUCCUUAGUUACCAGCGGGUUAAGCCGGGAACUCUAAGGAUACUGCCAGUGACAAACUGGAGGAAGGCGGGGACGACGUCAAGUCAUCAUGGCCCUUACGACCAGGGCUACACACGUGCUACAAUGGUAGGUAC